rnacentral:rRNA from 1 species
GUUCACAUGAUUAAAGGUAUUCCGGUAGACGAUGGGGAAGCGUUCCAUUAGAUAGUAGGCGGGGUAACGGCCCACCUAGUCUUCGAUGGAUAGGGGUUCUGAGAGGAAGGUCCCCCACAUUGGAACUGAGACACGGUCCAAACUCCUACGGGAGGCAGCAGUGAGGAAUAUUGGUCAAUGGGCGAGAGCCUGAACCAGCCAAGUAGCGUGAAGGAUGACUGCCCUAUGGGUUGUAAACUUCUUUUAUAAAGGAAUAAAGUCGGGUAUGGAUACCCGUUUGCAUGUACUUUAUGAAUAAGGAUCGGCUAACUCCGUGCCAGCAGCCGCGGUAAUACGGAGGAUUCGAGCGUUAUCCGGAUUUAUUGGGUUUAAAGGGAGCGUAGAUGGAUGUUUAAGUCAGUUGUGAAAGUUUGCGGCUCAACCGUAAAAUUGCAGUUGAUACUGGAUAUCUUGAGUGCAGUUGAGGCAGGCGGAAUUCGUGGUGUAGCGGUGAAAUGCUUAGAUAUCACGAAGAACUCCGAUUGCGAAGGCAGCCUGCUAAGCUGCAACUGACAUUGAGGCUCGAAAGUGUGGGUAUCAAACAGGAUUAGAUACCCUGGUAGUCCACACGGUAAACGAUGAAUACUCGCUGUUUGCGAUAUACGGCAAGCGGCCAAGCGAAAGCGUUAAGUAUUCCACCUGGGGAGUA